rnacentral:rRNA from 1 species
UGCCAGCAGCCGCGGUAAUACGUAGGGGGCGAGCGUUGUCCGGAAUUAUUGGGCGUAAAGAGCGUGUAGGCGGCCUGGUAAGUCUGUCGUGAAAUGCUGGGGCUCAACCCUGGACGUGCGAUGGAUACUGCUUGGCUAGAGGAUGGUAGAGGCGAGUGGAAUUCCCGGUGUAGCGGUGAAAUGCGCAGAUAUCGGGAGGAACACCAGUAGCGAAGGCGGCUCGCUGGGCCAUUCCUGACGCUGAGACGCGAAAGCGUGGGGAGCGAACAGGAUUAGAUA